GACGUAGGGCACGAGCGUUGUCCGGAUUUAUUGGGCGUAAAGAGCUCGUAGGCGGCUUGUCGCGUCGGAUGUGAAAUCUCGGGGCUCAACUCCGAGCUUGCAUUCGAUACGGGCAGGCUAGAGUUCGGUAGGGGAGACUGGAAUUCCUGGUGUAGCGGUGAAAUGCGCAGAUAUCAGGAGGAACACCGGUGGCGAAGGCGGGUCUCUGGGCCGAUACUGACGCUGAGGAGCGAAAGCGUGGGGAGCGAACAGG
rnacentral:rRNA from 1 species